GAUCUAGAACGUGGAGCACUCGCAUGAUUGACAGUGGCGUGACGGGUGAGUAACACGUGACUAACCUACCCUCGAGUGGGGAAUAACUUCGUGGAAACCGAUGCUAAUACCGCAUAAUGUCUAUGGACCAAAUGCUCAAGCAGCUUGAGGAGGGGGUCGCGGCUGAUAAGCUUGUUGGCGGGGUAACGGCCCACCAAUGCAAUGAUCAGUAUCCGGCCUGAGAGGGCGCACGGCCACACUGGAACUGAAACACGGUCCAUACUCCUACUGGAGGCAUCAGUGGGGAAUUUUGCGCAAUGGGGGAAACCCUGACGCAUCAACUCCGCGUGGAGGAUGAAGCCCCUUGGGGUGUAAACUCCUUUCGAUCGGGACGAUUAUGACUGUACCGGAUGACUAAUCACCGGCUAACUCUGUGCCAUCAUCCGCGGUAAU
rnacentral:rRNA from 1 species